AGCGAACGCUGGCGGCAGGCCUAAUACAUGCAAGUCGAACGGCUCUUCGGAGCAGUGGCGGACGGGUGAGUAACACGUGGGAACGUGCCCUUUGGUACGGAACAACUGAGGGAAACUUCAGCUAAUACCGUAUGUGCCCCCAUUCUUAGCGGGAUGGGUGGGAAAGAUUUAUCGCCAUUGGAGCGGCCCGCGUUGGAUUAGCUAGUUGGUGGGGUAAAGGCCCACCAAGGCUACGAUCCAUAGCUGGUCUGAGAGGAUGAUCAGCCACACUGGGACUGGGACACGGCCCAGACUCCGACGGGAGGAAGCUGUAGGGAAUCUUGCGCAAUGGUCGAAAGCCUGACGCAGCCAUGCCGCGUGAAUGAUGAAGGUCUUAGGAUUGUAAAAUUCUUUCACCGGGGAAGAUAAUGACGGUACCCGGAGAAGAAGCCCCGGCUAACUUCGUGCCAGCCGCCGCCGUAA
rnacentral:rRNA from 1 species